GACGAACGCUGGCGGCGUGCUUAACACAUGCAAGUCGAACGGAAAGGCCCUGCUUGCAGGGUACUCGAGUGGCGAACGGGUGAGUAACACGUGGGUGAACUGCCCUGCACUUCGGGAGAAGCCUGGGAAACUGGGGCUAAUACCGGAUAGGAGCCAUUCUGAUGGUGAUUGUUGGAAAGUUUUUUCGGUGUGGGAUGAGCUCGCGGCCUAUCAGCUUGUUGGUGGGGUAAUGGCCUACCAAGGCGGCGGCGGGUGGCCGGCCUGAGAGGGUGGACGGCCACAUUGGGACUGGGAUUCGGCCCAGGCUCCUACGGGGGGGCGCAGUGGGGAAUAUUGGACCAUGGGCGCCAGCCUGAUGCAGCGACGCCGCGGGGGGGAUGACGGCCUUCGGGUUGUAAACCCCUUUCGCUAGGGACGAAGCUUUUUGUGACGGUACCUAGAUAAGAAGCACCGGCUAACUACGUG
rnacentral:rRNA from 1 species